CAUCGGUUCCUUAAUGGCUCUC
rnacentral:siRNA from 1 species